rnacentral:rRNA from 1 species
GUUGGUGUCUAUGACGCUGAGGGUCCACCCGUUCCCAUUCCGAACACGGCAGUUAAGCUCAGCAGUGCCUACGAUACUUGGACGGCGACGUCCCGGGAAAAUUGGUCGACGCCAACA